CAUGGCUCAGGACGAACGCUGGCGGCGUGCCUAAUACAUGCAAGUAGAACGCACAGUUUAUACCGUAGCUUGCUACACCAUAGACUGUGAGUUGCGAACGGGGGAGUAACGCGUAGGUAACCUGCCUGGUAGCGGGGGAUAACUAGUGGAAACGAUAGCUAAUACAGCAUAAUAUUAAUUAUUGCAUGAUAAUUGAUUGAAAGAUGCAACUGCAUCACUACCAGAUGUACCUGCGUUGUAUUAGCUAGUAGGUGAGGUAACGGCUCACCUAGGCGACGAUACAUAGCCGACCUGAGGGGGUGCUCGGCCACACUGGGACUGAGACACGGCCCAGACUCCUACGG
rnacentral:rRNA from 1 species